UGGGUUAGUCGGGACCUAAGCUGAGGCCGAAAGGCGUAGGUGAUGGACAACAGGUUGAUAUUCCUGUACUACCGAUAACCGUUUGAGAGAAGGGAUGACACAGUAGGAUAAGCUAAGCACACUGUUGGUUAUGUGUGCCCAAGCAUUGAGGCAGUCAAAGUAGGCAAAUCCGCUUUGAUAAUGCUGGGAUGUGAUGGGGAGCGAAAUUUAGUAGCGAAGUAGCUGAUUUCACACUGUCAAGAAAAGUCUCUAUCGAGGUUAAAGGUACCCGUACCGCAAACCGACACAGGUGGGUGAGGAGAGUAUCCUAAGGCCAGCGAGAGAACUGUUGUUAAGGAACUCGGCAAAAUGACCCCGUAACUUAGGGAUAAGGGGUGCCACCAUCAGGUGGCCGCAGAGAAUAGGCCCAAGCGACUGUUUACCAAAAACAUAGGUUUCUGCUAAGUCGCAAGACGAUGUAUAGGAGCUGACGCCUGCCCGGUGCUGGAAGGUUAAGGGGAUCUGUUAGAGCAAUCGAAGCAGUGAACUUAAGCCCCAGUAAACGGCGGCCGUAACUAUAACGGUCCUAAGGUAGCGAAAUUCCUUGUCGGGUAAGUUCCGACCCGCACGAAAGGCGUAACGAUUUGGGCACUGUCUCAACAACAGACUCGGUGAAAUUGUAAUUCCGGUGAAGAUGCCGGAUACCUGCGACAGGACGGAAAGACCCCAUGGAGCUUUACUGUAGCUUGACAUUGGGUCUUGGUACUACAUGUACAGGAUAGGUGGGAGGCUUUGAAACCAGGACGCCAGUUUUGGCGGAGCCAUCCUUGGGAUACCACCCUUGUAGUACUGGGACUCUAACCAUAGGCCAUGAAUCUGGUCUUGGGACACUGUCAGGUGGGCAGUUUGACUGGGGCGGUCGCCUCCCAAAAGGUAACGGAGGCGCUCAAAGGUUCUCUCAGUACGGUCGGAAAUCGUACGUAGAGUGUAAAGGCAAAAGAGAGCUUGAUUGCAAGACAUACAGGUCGAGCAAGGAUGAAAAUCGGACUUAGUGAUCCGGUGGUUCUGCGUGGAAGGGCCAUCGCUCAACGGAUAAAAGCUACCCUGGGGAUAACAGGCUUAUCUCCCCCAAGAGUCCACAUCGACGGGGAGGUUUGGCACCUCGAUGUCGGCUCAUCACAUCCUGGGGCUGUAGUAGGUCCCAAGGGUUGGGCUGUUCGCCCAUUAAAGUGGUACGCGAGCUGGGUUCAGAACGUCGUGAGACAGUUCGGUCCCUAUCCGUCGCAGGCGUAGGAAAUUUGAGAAGACCUGUCCUUAGUACGAGAGGACCGGGAUGGACGUACCUCUGGUGUACCAGUUGU
rnacentral:rRNA from 1 species